rnacentral:rRNA from 1 species
UUGUGAGGUUAAGCGACUAAGCGUACACGGUGGAUGCCCUGGCAGUCAGAGGCGAUGAAGGACGUGCUAAUCUGCGAUAAGCGUCGGUGAGGUGAUAUGAACCGUUAUAACCGGCGAUUUCCGAAUGGGGAAACCCAGUGUGUUUCGACACACUAUCAUUAACUGAAUCCAUAGGUUAAUGAGGCGAACCGGGGGAACUGAAACAUCUAAGUACCCCGAGGAAAAGAAAUCAACCGAGAUUCCCCCAGUAGCGGCGAGCGAACGGGGAGGAGCCCAGAGCCUGAAUCAGUGUGUGUGUUAGUGGAAGCGUCUGGAAAGGCGUGCGAUACAGGGUGACAGCCCCGUACACAAAAAUGCACAUAUUGUGAGCUCGAUGAGUAGGGCGGGACACGUGGUAUCCUGUCUGAAUAUGGGGGGACCAUCCUCCAAGGCUAAAUACUCCUGACUGACCGAUAGUGAACCAGUACCGUGAGGGAAAGGCGAAAAGAACCCCGGCGAGGGGAGUGAAAAAGAACCUGAAACCGUGUACGUACAAGCAGUGGGAGCCUCUUUAUGGGGUGACUGCGUACCUUUUGUAUAAUGGGUCAGCGACUUAUAUUCUGUAGCAAGGUUAACCGAAUAGGGGAGCCGAAGGGAAACCGAGUCUUAACUGGGCGUUAAGUUGCAGGGUAUAGACCCGAAACCCGGUGAUCUAGCCAUGGGCAGGUUGAAGGUUGGGUAACACUAACUGGAGGACCGAACCGACUAAUGUUGAAAAAUUAGCGGAUGACUUGUGGCUGGGGGUGAAAGGCCAAUCAAACCGGGAGAUAGCUGGUUCUCCCCGAAAGCUAUUUAGGUAGCGCCUCGUGAAUUCAUCUCCGGGGGUAGAGCACUGUUUCGGCAAGGGGGUCAUCCCGACUUACCAACCCGAUGCAAACUGCGAAUACCGGAGAAUGUUAUCACGGGAGACACACGGCGGGUGCUAACGUCCGUCGUGAAGAGGGAAACAACCCAGACCGCCAGCUAAGGUCCCAAAGUCAUGGUUAAGUGGGAAACGAUGUGGGAAGGCCCAGACAGCCAGGAUGUUGGCUUAGAAGCAGCCAUCAUUUAAAGAAAGCGUAAUAGCUCACUGGUCGAGUCGGCCUGCGCGGAAGAUGUAACGGGGCUAAACCAUGCACCGAAGCUGCGGCAGCGACACUAUGUGUUGUUGGGUAGGGGAGCGUUCUGUAAGCCUGUGAAGGUGGCCUGUGAGGGUUGCUGGAGGUAUCAGAAGUGCGAAUGCUGACAUAAGUAACGAUAAAGCGGGUGAAAAGCCCGCUCGCCGGAAGACCAAGGGUUCCUGUCCAACGUUAAUCGGGGCAGGGUGAGUCGACCCCUAAGGCGAGGCCGAAAGGCGUAGUCGAUGGGAAACAGGUUAAUAUUCCUGUACUUGGUGUUACUGCGAAGGGGGGACGGAGAAGGCUAUGUUGGCCGGGCGACGGUUGUCCCGGUUUAAGCGUGUAGGCUGGUUUUCCAGGCAAAUCCGGAAAACCAAGGCUGAGGCGUGAUGACGAGGCACUACGGUGCUGAAGCGACAAAUGCCCUGCUUCCAGGAAAAGCCUCUAAGCAUCAGGUAACAUCAAAUCGUACCCCAAACCGACACAGGUGGUCAGGUAGAGAAUACCAAGGCGCUUGAGAGAACUCGGGUGAAGGAACUAGGCAAAAUGGUGCCGUAACUUCGGGAGAAGGCACGCUGAUAUGUAGGUGAAGCGACUUGCUCGUGGAGCUGAAAUCAGUCGAAGAUACCAGCUGGCUGCAACUGUUUAUUAAAAACACAGCACUGUGCAAACACGAAAGUGGACGUAUACGGUGUGACGCCUGCCCGGUGCCGGAAGGUUAAUUGAUGGGGUUAGCGGUAACGCGAAGCUCUUGAUCGAAGCCCCGGUAAACGGCGGCCGUAACUAUAACGGUCCUAAGGUAGCGAAAUUCCUUGUCGGGUAAGUUCCGACCUGCACGAAUGGCGUAAUGAUGGCCAGGCUGUCUCCACCCGAGACUCAGUGAAAUUGAACUCGCUGUGAAGAUGCAGUGUACCCGCGGCAAGACGGAAAGACCCCGUGAACCUUUACUAUAGCUUGACACUGAACAUUGAGCCUUGAUGUGUAGGAUAGGUGGGAGGCUUUGAAGUGUGGACGCCAGUCUGCAUGGAGCCGACCUUGAAAUACCACCCUUUAAUGUUUGAUGUUCUAACGUUGGCCCGUAAUCCGGGUUGCGGACAGUGUCUGGUGGGUAGUUUGACUGGGGCGGUCUCCUCCUAAAGAGUAACGGAGGAGCACGAAGGUUGGCUAAUCCUGGUCGGACAUCAGGAGGUUAGUGCAAUGGCAUAAGCCAGCUUGACUGCGAGCGUGACGGCGCGAGCAGGUGCGAAAGCAGGUCAUAGUGAUCCGGUGGUUCUGAAUGGAAGGGCCAUCGCUCAACGGAUAAAAGGUACUCCGGGGAUAACAGGCUGAUACCGCCCAAGAGUUCAUAUCGACGGCGGUGUUUGGCACCUCGAUGUCGGCUCAUCACAUCCUGGGGCUGAAGUAGGUCCCAAGGGUAUGGCUGUUCGCCAUUUAAAGUGGUACGCGAGCUGGGUUUAGAACGUCGUGAGACAGUUCGGUCCCUAUCUGCCGUGGGCGCUGGAGAACUGAGGGGGGCUGCUCCUAGUACGAG